GACGAACGCUGGCGGCGUGCUUAACACAUGCAAGUCGAACGGAAAGGCCCUGCUUUUGUGUGGUGCUCGAGUGGCGAACGGGUGAGUAACACGUGAGUAACCUUCCCUUGACUUUGGGAUAACUUCAGGAAACUGGGGCUAAUACCGGAUAGGAGCUCCUGCUGCUUGGUGGGGGUUGGAAAGUUUAGGCGGUUGGGGAUGGACUCGCGGCUUAUCAGCUUGUUGGUGGGGUAGUGGCUUACCAAGGCUUUGACGGGUAGCCGGCCUGAGAGGGUGACCGGCCACCUGGGGACUGCGAUACGGACCAGACUGCUACGGGAGGCAGCAGUGGAGAAUAUUGCACAGUGGGCGGAAGCCUGAUGCAGCAACGCCGCGUGCGGGAUGAAGGCCUACGGGUUAUAAACCGCUUUCGCCUGUGACGAAGCGUGAGUGACGGUAAUGGGUAAAGAAGCACCGGCUAACUACGUG
rnacentral:rRNA from 1 species